GCGUCAGGAACGAGAGCGGGAGGGACGGAAAAGCUGACACACACACACACACACCCGGGUCAGCGUUUGGCGGUAGCUACGGCAACGCGAAUGGCCUGCGCGGCGCUGGUAAACCCGCGCUCGAGUUGGGAUUGAAUCGAAACGGUUUUUUUUAAAAAGAGUGAAAUGCUCCUGGAGGGGGAAAAAUUGACAUAGGCGGUCUCUGUGAAUGGACGACGCACGACCUCUUCAUUUUCCUCACUUUGGAAAAAAUAUUAGUUUGGACCCAGUUGAAGUUAAAGGGUAUGAUGACCAGCUGGGGAGAUGAGUCGGGGACAUCUGUUGUGGAGCAGAUGGGGCCAAACUGAAACUGCAGCAUGUCUCUUCCCAACUACUCAGAGGAUACAUUUACCUCCAUGACUGAAGAAGAAGAGGAGGAGAGGGAGUACGGGGACGACUCAUUUGAAUCUUAUGACUCAGCGGAUGAGUUGAAAGAGCCAGUGGCCUCUGACCUGACCAAGGGUGCUUGGCAAUCCUCAUGUCAAAAGGAUGAAGAAUUGUUAGAUUCUGCAUUUGUAGGAGAGUCUUUAACUAGAAAAUGGAUUAAUCUUCUGAAAGUCAACAGAAGAAGUAUCACUGAGAGAGCAAAACCUUCCAUAGAACCAGAUACUGAUAAGGAAGUAUCUCUGAAAUGAUGACCCAGUGAGGCACAGAUUUGAACAGAAUGCCAGUGGCUUGGCAUUAACACCAUUGGUGUUACUAGAAAAUAGAAAUUGCUAACUGUAUUUGGAAGAGGUCCAGUUGCCCAGAACAACCUUCAAAGAUAAGCUUAAGAAAUCUGCAACCUGAUAGUUUACAGAGGGGGCACAAAACAGUUCCUCAGUUUGGAUAUUUUGCAGUCGUUCAUAAUCACCCUGGCAAUCAUUUUGUGAGAAUGCAGCAUUACCAGGAAUUUCUGAAGAAGAACUGGGGAUCCUGCAGUCUUUCUGUGUCAGCAAAAUUAACCAUCUCCAUUAUCAGAGGAUUUCAGAGCCAUUAAGAAGAAAUAGCCGUGAGGAACAGAGGCCUAGGAUGCUUUCACAGAGGCAGCAGAAGGGAGGUUGUGACUCUGCUGUCCCUUCUGAGCUAGUAAACAGGCUUCAUCUGAAAAGUCUCAAGGAGAUGAUGAAAAAGGUCCUGAAACCAUGACUUUUUUGCAAAUGACUGGGAGGGUGGGAAAAAACCAAGUGCUACUUUUUGUUAUUUACAGACUUACAGGUAGUCCUCAACUUACAACCAUUCAUUUAAUGACCAAAGUUAAAACAGCACUGCAAAAAAAGAUAGCAGAAACUGAAAUGCACCAACCUUCACAAUGCCCCUUUUGCAUGAAGAAAAGAGAAGGGUUUGCAAAAGUUGAAUUUCUCCGUCGAAAGAAAACUAUAUUAGACAAUGUUUUGCUUCAAGAGAAACUGGAAGACUAUAUGUACACCAAAGUAAGCAAAAAGCAGAAUAUAUAUACCAAAAGUAGAUGUAUUGUGUUGCAUUGCAUUGUGUUGUGUUGCGCUGUGCUGUGCUGUGCUAUGCUAUGCUAUCCUAUGCUUAGUACAUACUUCAUGAGCCAUGGUGGUGCAGUGGUUAGAAUGCAGUAUUGCAGGCUAAUUCUGCCAGCUGCUGGCUACCAACAAUUCGGCAGUUCAAUUCUCACUGGCUCAAGGUUGAUUCAGCCUUCCAUCCUUCUGAGGUUGGUAAAAUGAGGCCCCAGAUUUGGGGAGCAAUAAGCUGACUCUGUAAACUCCUUAGAGAGGACUGUAAAGCACUAUGAAGCAGUAUAUAAUUCUAAGUGCUACUGCUAUUGCUAUCUGCAUAUCUCCAAAUUGCUACUAACAUUUUCGAAGGAUUCAGAAUUGGAUUAGAUUGUGUAUGUUUUUCUUAAAAAAAGAGUUCAUGAAAUUUGUUUUUUUAACCUUGGGAAU